UCUUUGUAUAUGCGGAUCAUUAUUUUAGUAUAGAAACUGUUUAUAGAGUUCUAAUCGUUUUUAAAAGUUUAAAAGAGUAAGAAAUUGUUGCUGAAAUUAUUACCCGUUUCUUUUCUAACUGAAUAAUGAAACUAGGUUUUUUUCCGCCAAAGGUCGUACUAGGUUUAUGAUUCCAUAUGAGAAAAGAAAAUAGAUAUUAUGGAGACAAAUGAUGAACAGUUAGAAAACUUAGCUGAACCAACUUCUAUCAACGAAUUGCAAGAAUUCAUGAAGUCCAUGUAUCAUGCAGUAACUCAACUUUGCGGGUCUACAUACACUUUCAUUCUUUGUGGUUUAGAAUGGCAGCUGAAACAUUUCAUUAGUCAUCCAUAUGUGACUGACAUUCAAGAUUUCCUAAAAUCAAAAUUGUAUGUUCUAACACACGUUCGUCGAGCACAAAUCGACUCUUACCUACGCGGAUUAACAUGGCAGCUUGAAAAACUCAUUUGUCAACCUUAUGUUAACUACAUUGAGCAAUUCUUAACUGUAAAGCCGCAUUUAGUAAAUCGUGUUCGACGGCCGGAAUACGAAAACAUGUUUCAGGGAAUAGCAUGGGAGGGCAUAUUGAAAGGUGACAAACAAAAGGUCUUGUGCGUUUUGAUAACAGUGAAGUAUUUAUUUAACCGAAACGAUCAAAGCGGAAUAAAUGUGCUAAUAGAAGCUGGACUACUUGAAAAUUUAGGCAUGAUAUUAGAGUAUUUUACACGAACAGAAGAACAACUGCUUGUUUCAACUCUUCUUCCUUCAUUACUUUACUGCAUUACUACUGUAAUUGCAUUGAAAAACAACAGACAUCGGUGGUUUCAACAUAACUGCCAUCCAUUUCUUCUAUUCCUUUGUAAAGAUUACACCAAUGUAAAACACAACAGAAAGGUUGUUGAUGCAUUUAAUGAUAUCUUAAUGUCAUUGUCCACACGUAGCAUGAAGAUAGUCCAAAGUUAUAGUUGGUUAGUAGACAAUAUAAUUUUCAAAAUUCUUUUGAACCUCAAACACUUUGGUAAUCAUGAUCUCAUAGGCGGAGUAAUUGAGCAGAUAAUGCAAUUAUAUCCAAGUACGAAUUUCGAGCAAAAUAUUCUAUCCUGGAGGAAUAAUGCUGAAACCACAUUUCUUUUGAACUACAGUGAUAUUUAUAGCGAACACAAUUAUUCAGUAGUGGAAGGUGAUUUGGCGUUUAUGCAUGAUGAUACAAACAGUUCAACGAACUCCACAAAAACCAGGAAUGGUGGUGAAACUACACUUGUCUUGGAUUACGGUGAUAUUUAUACCGAACACAACUAUUCAGUUGCACAAGAAGCGAAAUGGGAGCAACAGAUGCAAAGGAAGAUGAAGCAAUCGUGGGGAAUCAGUGGGAUGAAGAUGAUGUGUUUAGAAUAGAACAAAGGCAUUACUCUGGCAGAGAAUCAAGAAAGCGUCAAAGUACGUCGGAGUCAUACGAUGCAGAUGGAAGUGAUGCAAGUGGUAAACGCAUAAGAGUAAAUAAUUUCACACAAGAUGAGACACUGCCACAAGAAUGGUCAAGAUCUAACAGAACGAAUCUAUCAGAAUCACCCUGGUUUGAAAGGCACAAUACUAAAGAUAUUGCAACAUUUGUCAAACAAGAAUUAAAGAGGUUAAGAAACCGAGCAAAGAGAAUCUCUACAUCUUCGGAAAUGAAAUGAUUAUGUUUUUAUCUAUUCAUUCAUGAAGACAUUUGUUUAGUCAUAAAACAAAAAGGGACGGAAAAUGCUGUUUAAACAAAGGGAUAUAUAUUUUUUUUUUACUUGGUAUCACAAUCCUUGAUGAACUUUAUUUAACAUUGUUUGGUUUAUAUUUUCCAUUAUGCUGUGCUAUCCUUUUUUACAUUGCAGUUGUAUUUUUGUUUCCAACAUCCCGUCUGAAGCCUUUGUUGUUUUUGAUCAAGUUUCUUUUAUUAUGGGACAAUUUUUUAUCAUUUUAUAUGAACCCUUAUGUUUGUGUGCUGUGCUAUUAUUUUACAAUGCAAUUUUGUGUUUGUUGUCCACCACAUUCAGCAUCGUGAUCUCUGUUCUCUAUGGGUAUUUUUUUGUUUUCAUAUUAUUUAGCAAUCAUACCUCUAAGUUAAAACCCUUGUGUUUAAUAAAUGCGCUUUAUCACAGUGGCUAAAUCGCUCACGAAA